rnacentral:rRNA from 1 species
CCUACGGGAGGCAGCAGUAGGGCAUAUUGCUCAAUGGGGGAAACCCUGAAGCAGCAACGCCGCGUGGAGGAUGAAGGUUUUCGGAUUGUAAACUCCUUUUGUUAGAGAAGAUAAUGACGGUAUCUAACGAAUAAGAACCGGCUAACUCCGUGCCAGCAGCCGCGGUAAUACGGAGGGUGCAAGCGUUACUCGGAAUCACUGGGCGGAAAGAGCGCGUAGGCGGGAUAGCAAGUCAGAUGUGAAAUCCUAUGGCUUAACCAUAGAACUGCAUUUGAAACUGUUAUUCUAGAGUAUGGGAGAGGGAGGUGGAAUUCUUGGUGUAGGGGUAAAAUCCGUAGAGAUCAAGAGGAAUACUCAUUGCGAAGGCGACCUGCUAGAACAUAACUGACGCUGAUGCGCGAAAGCGUGGGGAGCAAACAGGAUUAGAUACCCCUGUAGUG